rnacentral:pre_miRNA from 1 species
GUGUGUGAAUGGUGUUCAGCACCAAGGACAGGCAUGUUUACCUGUGUGUGGAUAGUGUUCAGCACCAAGGACAGGUAUGUUUACUU